rnacentral:rRNA from 1 species
CUGACAAAGGGAGGUAGCGACAAGAAAUAACGAUAGUAGUCCUUUUCAGGUCUAUUCAUUGGAAUGAGGAUAAUUUACACCCCUUCUCGAGUAUCCAUUGGAGGGCAAGCCUGGUGCCAGCAGCCGCGGUAAUUCCAGCUCCAAUAGUGUAUAUUAAAGUUGUUGCAGUUAAAAAGCUCGUAGUCGAAUGUAGGGUUAUAAACGCCGAGAUGUCUUUUAGGAGACGAUUUUUGGCGUCAUAACUCUUUUUUACCGACCAAAAUUUGGUUUUAAAUAAUCAGAUCGUGGGUGCCGGUAAUAUUUACUGUGAAUAAAUCAGAGUGUUCAUGGCAGGCCGUAUGGGCUUAAAUAUCUCAGCAUGGAAUAAUAGAAUAGGACUUAUGGUUCUAUUUUGUUGGUUUUUGGAGCCGAAGUAAUGAUUAAUAGGAAUAGUUGGGGGCACUCGUACUCCGUUGUCAGAGGUGAAAUUCUUGGAUUUACGGAAGACGAACAACUGCGAAAGCAUCUGCCAAGGAUG